rnacentral:lncRNA from 1 species
AGAGAGAAAGAGAUUUUGUUUUAAAUUAGAAUUUAAAUGUUUAAAAUUUAAAAUUUGUAAUCUCAAAAUUAAAAUUUAUAAUUUAUAAUUCUUAAUUUUAAAGUUUAAAUUUUAAAUUUUAAAUUUGAUAUUUUAAUUUUUUAAAAUUUAAAAUUUGAUAUUUUAUAUUUUUCAAAUUUAAAUUUGGUCUUAAAUUUAAAAUUUAAAAUUUUAAAAUUUAAAAUUUAAGAAUUUAAAUUUUAAAAUUUAAAAGUUAAAAUUUUAAAUUUUAAAUUAUAAAUUUAAAAUUUAAAAUUUAAAAUCCAAAUAUAAUUAGAGGGGUAAUCGUUAUUUUCUAUUUAUAACAGCACACUAUUCUUCUUAUUUUAUCUUAUCUCUUCAGACGUUAUUUUUCUUAUUCCCGAAAACAACAUAAUUUUCAUCCAAACGCAAAAUUGGUCUAGUUUUUUCUUAAAUCUGAACUUACAUCUAUUCCUAGAACAAGCAAUUCUUACUUAUACCCGAACCAAAUGAAGUCUUAAGAAUACAUGAUCUCCUACCUGAAACUCAAGGUCUUGUCGUUGAACAUCAGCAUAGCUUUUCUGUCGACUCUGUGAGAUCACAAGAUGUCGUGUCACAAUCUUGACUUUCCUUUCUGUUUCCAUCAUAAUAUCUGAACCUAGAGUCUUCCUUUUACCUAUAUCACUCCAAUAAUCGACACUUUCUUAUCAGCAAUGCUUCAAACGGACCUAUUUUGAUACUCGCCUAGUAACUAUUACUGCUAGUGAAGGCCCGCGCUACGCGGCGGGGAAUUUAUGUAAAUUCUAAAAUACUUUAAAUUAU